rnacentral:rRNA from 1 species
ACUAAGCGUACACGGUGGAUGCCCUGGCAGUCAGAGGCGAUGAAGGACGUGCUAAUCUGCGAAAAGCGUCGGUAAGGUGAUAUGAACCGUUAUAACCGGCGAUGUCCGAAUGGGGAAACCCAGUGCAAUUCGUUGCACUAUCGUUAACUGAAUACAUAGGUUAACGAGGCGAACCGGGGGAACUGAAACAUCUAAGUACCCCGAGGAAAAGAAAUCAACCGAGAUUCCCCCAGUAGCGGCGAGCGAACGGGGAGCAGCCCAGAGUCUGAAUCAGCUUGUGUGUUAGUGGAACGGUCUGGAAAGUCCGACGGUACAGGGUGAUAGUCCCGUACACCAAAAUGCACAGGUUGUGAACUCGAAGAGUAGGGCGGGACACGUGGUAUCCUGUCUGAAUAUGGGGGGACCAUCCUCCAAGGCUAAAUACUCCUGACUGACCGAUAGUGAACCAGUACCGUGAGGGAAAGGCGAAAAGAACCCCGGCGAGGGGAGUGAAAAAGAACCUGAAACCGUGUACGUACAAGCAGUGGGAGCACCUUCGGGUGUGACUGCGUACCUUUUGUAUAAUGGGUCAGCGACUUAUAUUCUGUAGCAAGGUUAACCGUAUAGGGGAGCCGCAGGGAAACCGAGUCUUAACUGGGCGUUAAGUUGCAGGGUAUAGACCCGAAACCCGGUGAUCUAGCCAUGGGCAGGUUGAAGGUUGGGUAACACUAACUGGAGGACCGAACCGACUAAUGUUGAAAAAUUAGCGGAUGACUUGUGGCUGGGGGUGAAAGGCCAAUCAAACCGGGAGAUAGCUGGUUCUCCCCGAAAGCUAUUUAGGUAGCGCCUCGUGAAUUCAUCUUCGGGGGUAGAGCACUGUUUCGGCUAGGGGGUCAUCCCGACUUACCAACCCGAUGCAAACUACGAAUACCGAAGAAUGUUAUCACGGGAGACACACGGCGGGUGCUAACGUCCGUCGUGAAGAGGGAAACAACCCAGACCGCCAGCUAAGGUCCCAAAGUCAUGGUUAAGUGGGAAACGAUGUGGGAAGGCACAGACAGCCAGGAUGUUGGCUUAGAAGCAGCCAUCAUUUAAAGAAAGCGUAAUAGCUCACUGGUCGAGUCGGCCUGCGCGGAAGAUGUAACGGGGCUAAACCAUGCACCGAAGCUGCGGCAGCGACACUAUGUGUUGUUGGGUAGGGGAGCGUUCUGUAAGCCUGCGAAGGUGUGCUGUGAGGCAUGCUGGAGGUAUCAGAAGUGCGAAUGCUGACAUAAGUAACGAUAAAGCGGGUGAAAAGCCCGCUCGCCGGAAGACCAAGGGUUCCUGUCCAACGUUAAUCGGGGCAGGGUGAGUCGACCCCUAAGGCGAGGCCGAAAGGCGUAGUCGAUGGGAAACAGGUUAAUAUUCCUGUACUUGGUGUUACUGCGAAGGGGGGACGGAGAAGGCUAUGUUAGCCGGGCGACGGUUGUCCCGGUUUAAGCAUGUAGGCUGGUUAUCCAGGCAAAUCCGGAUAAUCAAGGCUGAGGUGUGAUGACGAGGCACUACGGUGCUGAAGUAACAAAUGCCCUGCUUCCAGGAAAAGCCUCUAAGCAUCAGGUAACAUCAAAUCGUACCCCAAACCGACACAGGUGGUCAGGUAGAGAAUACCAAGGCGCUUGAGAGAACUCGGGUGAAGGAACUAGGCAAAAUGGUGCCGUAACUUCGGGAGAAGGCACGCUGGUGUGUAGGUGAAGCCCCUGCGGGUGGAGCUGAGACCAGUCGAAGAUACCAGCUGGCUGCAACUGUUUAUUAAAAACACAGCACUGUGCAAACACGAAAGUGGACGUAUACGGUGUGACGCCUGCCCGGUGCCGGAAGGUUAAUUGAUGGGGUUAUCCGUAAGGAGAAGCUCUUGAUCGAAGCCCCGGUAAACGGCGGCCGUAACUAUAACGGUCCUAAGGUAGCGAAAUUCCUUGUCGGGUAAGUUCCGACCUGCACGAAUGGCGUAAUGAUGGCCAGGCUGUCUCCACCCGAGACUCAGUGAAAUUGAACUCGCUGUGAAGAUGCAGUGUACCCGCGGCAAGACGGAAAGACCCCGUGAACCUUUACUAUAGCUUGACACUGAACAUUGAGCCUUGAUGUGUAGGAUAGGUGGGAGGCUUUGAAGCGUGGACGCCAGUCUGCGUGGAGCCAACCUUGAAAUACCACCCUUUAAUGUUUGAUGUUCUAACGUUGGCCCCUUACCGGGGUUGCGGACAGUGUCUGGUGGGUAGUUUGACUGGGGCGGUCUCCUCCCAAAGCGUAACGGAGGAGCACGAAGGUUAGCUAAUCCUGGUCGGACAUCAGGAGGUUAGUGCAAUGGCAUAAGCUAGCUUGACUGCGAGCGUGACGGCGCGAGCAGGUGCGAAAGCAGGUCAUAGUGAUCCGGUGGUUCUGAAUGGAAGGGCCAUCGCUCAACGGAUAAAAGGUACUCCGGGGAUAACAGGCUGAUACCGCCCAAGAGUUCAUAUCGACGGCGGUGUUUGGCACCUCGAUGUCGGCUCAUCACAUCCUGGGGCUGAAGUAGGUCCCAAGGGUAUGGCUGUUCGCCAUUUAAAGUGGUACGCGAGCUGGGUUUAGAACGUCGUGAGACAGUUCGGUCCCUAUCUGCCGUGGGCGCUGGAGAAUUGAGGGGGGCUGCUCCUAGUACGAGAGGACCGGAGUGGACGCAUCACUGGUGUUCGGGUUGUCAUGCCAAUGGCACUGCCCGGUAGCUAAAUGCGGAAGAGAUAAGUGCUGAAAGCAUCUAAGCACGAAACUUGCCCCGAGAUGAGUUCUCCCUGAGACUUUAAGUCUCCUGAAGGAACGUUGAAGACGACGACGUUGAUAGGCCGGGUGUGUAAGCGCAGCGAUGCGUUGAGCUAACCGGUACUAAUGAACCGUGAGGCUUAACC